AGUAUAUUUAGAUAGCUAAAUCUUUAACCCAAGAAAGGGUUUGCUACAUCUUCCGCUAGAAAAGAGAACAUUAUUGAUAAAAUAGGUAAACGAUUCUAACAAUUUUCUUAAUAUUAAUAAACUUGUAGUCUAGUUACAGGAUUUCUGAAUGGUCACAAGAUAUCGUGACGUCUCCAUUAGCAGCUGAUUUCUGUUUUCUUAUUGGAGGUGUCAUCGUCAUUUUUAAUAGGCCAAUUUAUAUUCUUCUUUGUGGGAAGGUUAUCCCAAGGCAAACGGUGCUUUGUCAUUUGUCGCCAGAUUGUUAUAAAAGUGCCAUAAGCGUAAAGAAAUUACGAAGACGGUGUAGGAUCACCCAUAAGGACGGCUACGUUAUCGGAGCAUAAUCCUGCUUCAAAGUCCGCUUGUGUUUCGCAUUCGACAGCACGAAAACCGACAUCACUGUUAAUGGACUCAACAAACCAGGUUGGAACUGGCCACCAUUAGGAUAGAAGUCAACAUGCCCAAUUGGGGGUAAGAAACCUUGCUGAUCGUGCAACAGAGUACCACCGUUUGUAUGAAUUAUGUCGACAAAAUCACCGUCCGUCGUGUCCAAUCGCGUAUCCGUUUCAUUGAGGGAGAAUAACGGUCCUGCUGGAUCCAAACCUGCAAUGGUUAUACGAGGAAUUCUUCCUAGAGUCACCGCGGCUCCAGCUCCUCCAACGACAUGAGCUCCAAGGCUGUGACCCAUCAAGUGAAUGGACUCGAAAGGAGCUCCUGUGUUCCCGACAAGGAAGUCGAUGAACUGGCUAUUGCACAACGGCAGCACCCGGGCCAUCGUGCAAUCCAUGAGCAAAGAACUUGGUUGGUAGUGAUGGAUCAUAGAAAGACUGCUCCAGUGCUUGCAAGUUAUCUAAUUCAAGGAUUUGAGCCUGCGUUGGAUUAAACCUUAAUUUCAUGAAACACAAUCAACGUUGACUUGGAGCCGCUCUUGCAGCAUUGGAGCCAAAAGGCGCUAUUUAAGACAUAGCACCAAAUAGGAAGCAACAGAAAAGCUAAAGAUGUAAUCACCAAUCGAAACACGAUCAUGUUCGUUUUGUAUUUUCUUCUCGUGACACAAGAUUGACAACACUAACUCGACACCAGCUCCACUGGUGGACAUAUUUUAUAGCCUUGACUGUGCACAUGGUUUGGUUAUCAUUGUAGGUAUCACGUCUUAAAUAUCGUUCGUUUAUACGCAGUUAAUCCUAAAUGAUUGACAGCUGAUGGACAGUAACUUAGAUAAUCUUUUUAUUUGUAGAGUUCAGUGUCUCUUAUUUAUUCUAUAAAAUAUUGGUAAUAAUUUUAUUAGUUCAUAAAGGAUGUUAAAAUUCUGCCAAGAACAACCCGAAAGGUACUGAUCCACUACACCAUCUAUCCUUUUGCAUAAGGUGAUGCGUCGUUGGUGGUUAGGUAAAAUGCGCCAGUAGCUCUUGAAAAUUUCAAAAAUAUUGUCAAUUUCUCACAUAGUAUGUUUUAUUCUGUAAAUACUAUCAAACGAGUAAAAGACUUAUUGAAUCAUUACGUUUCCGGAACGUAUUCCCCCAUCAAAACGGAUUCAUUUUCAUUGCAGGCGCCGGAUAAGAAUGUGUCCCAGGAGUCACAACGGACGGCACGGAAUCCCACCUCGCUUGUAAUGGAUUCGGUGAAAUAACUUUUCGUACUUGUGACGCCUUCGCAUCCUGGCUGGACGAGCCCACCAUUAGGGAAGAAGUCGAUAUGACCGAUCGGAACCGUAAAUCUACCCUCCGUGUGGAUAAUGUCAACAAAAUUAGCGUCACUCACGUCCAGCCUUUCAUCAACAUCAUCAAGAGGGAAGAACUCGUCUGUGUGAGAAGGAUCUAAUCCUGCAGAAAAAUCCACGAAGUUCCAGCUGCCUCUCUUUCUAGGGUAAGUGUGAUUUUACCUGUAAUCCUGGCCACUCUUCCUCCAGAUGCUAUUGCGGCUCCUGCGAAUCCAACUACAUGCGCUCCAAAACUAUACUGGGAAUGGUUAUUAAGUAACAUCAGUUUGAAGCCUGGAAUUUUUUUGUACCGUGAGGGACGUACCUAUGUCCAGUGAGAUGAAAAUCGUCUAACAUGGCUCCAUGUGAAACGAGAAAAUUUAUAAACUGUCCGGUAAGUGUGCCAGCUAGAGGUACGUAAUUGGUGGCAACGUAUGAGUAAUUUCCAGUAGCCAUAGUGGACCAAUCGACAGCAAUAAAAUUGCAGUCUUGUUUCUCCAAAUACCCUUGAAAUGAUAACGGCAUUUCAUUUUAUAAUUUUAAUAGCACAAAAUUUUGGUGCAAUGAGAAUACCGUUUUUCGUGGGGUAGCUGUAUGUAGGUGAGCUGUUCAGUCCAUGAGCAAAGAGCUUGGUCUCCAAGCUUUUAUUGUAAUUGGAUUGAAAAAGUAAUGUAGUGUCGUCCAGCUCUAGUAUUUGGGGUUCAUUUGAGUUUUUUCUGUUUACAGCUCUCUCAAUAAGGCAGAAAAUGUAUUAACUGUUCUGUUUUCUUUACAUACCUGGUGAAUAACUGAAAGGAAAUUUCCUCUACCAGUUCUUCUGUCGUUCCUGUUUUCAAUUUUUGAGAUAUGUGUACUUGUGUCAACAGUGAUACUUUGUAAACAAAAUAGAAAAAUGAAUGCAUUAACUCACCAAAAUGGAUGCAAGACAGCUGCAUCAGCAAGAUUAAUGUGUAGGCACCAAAAAGCUUCUUUGGAAACAUUUUAUUUAUCUAUUUAUGUUUUUACCUUCCAGUUGGGGGCUGGGAGCUUUACAGUGAAGAAAGUUAUAUUUAUGUGUGGAUAACUUGGUUAUAAACUGAAACUUUGAAACAGUUCCAUUGGAAGGUCUCUACAUUGUAAAAAUGGAAUAGCAACUUAUCAGUAGAGACAAGAGUGUUGAUUGAUGCAUGGCGUCCUGAUAACAACAAUCUGAAGGUGAAAAUGAUGUGGGAAAAAAAUAAUAAUUGCCAGAAAUUUCAAAAAAGAAUUAAAUUAAAAAAGAAUACCUAGAAAUUAUUCUGUGAUUCUGCAUGAUAGAUUUAACUUCAUCUUCCUAAGUUUCCCGAUAGGGAUUGUACCCAAAGCUAUAUGCUAACAUAAGUAAUUCUGGACUAAUCUCAGUAUUCAAGGAUCAUAGCUCUGUGGUAGAACGUUGGUUAAUGGAUCCAAAGGUCUCGUGUUCGUACCCCGGCUGAAGGAUAAUAAAUUGAAAGAAAACGUAUAUUGUUAUUUCAUUGUGUUUCUAAUAGAUGAAUUUAUAUGUUAAUAAUAAAUUAUCUUGAA
rnacentral:lncRNA from 1 species